UAUAAAUUGGAUUAUUUUAAUGUAGACUUGCAAAGUAAAUAUGGCAUGAGACCUAGUUGCAUGCCUUUUUAAGACAUUAAAUUCAGGAAAUAGCAUUUGAGAUUCUUUCUGUUUAUUUGAUUUUUUGCACUGUUGGGGACCGAACCCAACUGCUUUUUCUAUGAGCUAUAUCCAUGGCCCAGCAUAAAAAUUUAAAGUUCUUAUAUGAACAAUGCUGCUAUAAACAGUUAUUUUAAAAAAGAAACAAGAAGCAGAAAUCAUUAGCGUUUUCUAUUUCUUUGUGUAUCAACUGCAGUCUUCCAUCUGCAGGCUGAUGCAGCUGAAUUGGUUCUGUGUGGAGUCACUCAUCACUUUACGAUGGUGGAUAUACUUUGAUAGAAGGAGCUGAAAUGAUAACCUGGAUGAAGAUAACUCACGGUCAUUGCAUCAUUAGACCAAGGUGGCCAGAGGAAAGAAAAAAUGCUUUAUAUGAAAUACAUAUGUAAAUCUGGGAAACAACUUGUGUUGAGAAGACAAUAAUGCCGCACAAAAACAACCAACAGUAAAUAGCAUCUGGUUUCUUUUGAAUGCCUAAAUUUUAGCCUAAUUUUUUUCCCUAUCAACAAGCCAAUUGGACACACUCAUUUACUCAAAUGUACAUGGGGAAACAUUGUUGUGUGGCAAUUUCUGCAAUUCGUGAGAGACAUGGAGCUUCCUCAUCAUCAAAUUUAACACAAAAUAUUUUCCUGAAG
rnacentral:lncRNA from 1 species